rnacentral:rRNA from 1 species
GAUCAUGGCUCAGGAUGAACGCUAGCUACAGGCUUAACACAUGCAAGUCGAGGGGCAUCAGGGUGUAGCAAUACACCGCUGGCGACCGGCGCACGGGUGAGUAACACGUAUCCAACCUGCCCUUUACUCGGGGAUAGCCUUUCGAAAGAAAGAUUAAUACCCGAUGGCAUAACAUGACCUCCCUGGUUUUUGGUUUAUUUAAAAGAAAUUUCGGUUAGAGGAUGGGGAGUGCGUUCCAUUAGGGCAGUUGGCGGGGUAACGGG